UCUUUGAUAUUACUGCUGUGGUUCAGGCUGGUGCCAUACAGUGCAAAUAACACCCACAUAAAACCUCCGGUGUGUUGGCUUCAGCCUCUUCCCUGUUCUGGUCAUUUAUAUUGUGUUUUGUUCAUUGACUUUGUUUUCUGUUCAGUUACACAUGUUCUGUUUGUGUUAAUUUCUUGCAAGUUUCAGCAUCAGUCUGGAACUAAAGCAGUAAUUAAAGCUGUUUUCUCCAGAAAAUUCUUUAAAUUGCUCCAGGUGAAGUUAGCCCCGUACUGGUGACAGAGAAAUUACACAUAUUUUUGCUUGUGAAAGGUUCCUGUAUUUUUCCCUUAACCAAGUGAUUCUGCAGGUGGCACGCGUGCAAACCCGUGUAAGGCCGUGGCUGCAGCACGUGUUCUGUCUCUGGCCCAGGCUCACCAGAGGCUCUCACAGCUCUGGCUGUUCCAGCACAGAGCCAGGCACUGUGAGCGGCUGCUCGGGAAUGUGUGACCAUGGAGAAAGCGGCUGCAGAGCUCAGGAACACCGGACUGCUCUUCCAGAGCUGCCUCUGCUCCAGGGCUUACUGAGAUAUGUUCUGAGUGCUGAAAUAUGCAGCCACCUGCCAGAAAGGGUGGGCAGGUGUUGGCAGGUCACACCAACGCUGCCCCUCGCCGCUCGGUGCCAGGGCAUCCAGCACUGCUGGCUAAUGCCAGGCUGUGUGGAACAGCGGGUGAGAAAACCGUGUCACAAAGAGGAGAACCUGGAGCUGUUUUCUCAGUGCCAUCACCCUCAGGACUCACCCCUUGCAGCCAGACUUGUCAGUUUGCUACAGACCUGCCCUCACCCCCUCUGGUGAGGCUGACCAAGGGCAUGGCUCGUGCUGGACAUUGAUUUCCCCCAAAAUUCCCCAUGAGAACACCAGCAGCAGCUGUAAGAUGUUCCUCAGCCUCUCCAGUUCCCAGAGAAGGUGCUGGUGAGAUGAGGAAUGGCAGAGGCAGCAGGGCUGCGGAUGAAACCAGAAGGGAGAUUCUCCAUGGCUAUAAAGGCAGCGAGAUGUUGGGUCAGGACAGCCCCAGGAGCCCGCAGGGUCCAGACAGUCACAGUGCACUGUGCUGGGCCGGCAGGAGGAGCGGUGCCGGUGCCGGUGCAGGUGCCGGUGUCGGUGUCAGUGCAGUGCCGUUGGUGCCGGUGCUGGUGCCAGGAGGUGCCCGUCUCCCCCGAGGGACCGCAGCUCACAGCACUGAGAGUCACCUCCCCUGCCAGGACCCUCAGCCCCGGCCCGGGUGACAGGGACAGCUGACCAG
rnacentral:lncRNA from 1 species